rnacentral:rRNA from 1 species
GAUGAACGCUAGCGGGAGGCUUAACACAUGCAAGUCGAGGGGCAUCACGAGGUAGCAAUACUUUGGUGGCGACCGGCGCACGGGUGAGUAACGCGUAUGCAACCUACCCUGUACAGGGGGAUAGCCCGGAGAAAUUCGGAUUAAUACCCCAUAACGAUAUUGAGAGGCAUCUUUUGAUAUUUAAAGUUUCGACGGUACGGGUUGGGCAUGCGUAACAUUAGCUAGUUGGUAGGGAAAGGGCCUACCAAGGCGACGAUGUUUAGGGGUCCUGGGAGGGUGAUCCCCCACACUGGUACUGAGACACGGACCAGACUCCUACGGGAGGCAGCAGUGAGGAAUAUUGGUCAAUGGGCGUAAGCCUGAACCAGCCAUCCCGCGUGAAGGAAGACGGCGCUAUGCGUUGUAAACUUCUUUUCCAGAGGAAUAAAAUUUUGUACGAGUACGAAACUGAAGGUACUCUGGGAAUAAGCACCGGCUAACUCCGUGCCAGCAGCCGCGGUAAUAC